AUUGAAGUUGCUUAGAAAAGAGGAGGGGGGGAAAGCCAACAUUAGCACAGGUUGUGACAAGUUAAAAAUACUCACAAUACCCUGGGUUCCCAGUUAGUAACUUGAGAAUGUAGCUAUUUUAAUUGAGUUACCAAAUAUAGCUUCACCUUCCUAAAUCUCACUAGCUACACUACAUUCAUUUGGGGGAACAUUGAGGAAUGCUUUCUGCUUCCCUUUUUAACUGUGUACUUGAGUAUUUUUCCCAGAACAAUUUUCUGAUGUUAGUUUUUUUGUUCAGAUAAAUGGUAUAUCCUCUGGCCCCCAUCAGUGGGGGGUUGAACCCAGAGGCAAUCUACCACUGUACCACAUCCCCAGCACCUUUUAUUUUCUGUCUUGAAACAGGGCCUCCUGUAUUGCCAAGACCAGCCUCAAACGUGUGAUUCUCCUGCCUCAGCCUCCCAAGGGGCUAGGAUGACAGGUGAGCUCCCCUGCACCAGCCUAUCCUGGCAUAUUCAUGGGUUUUUCCUGCCCUUAGUACUCAAUUCCUAAGCUGCCUUUACUCACUUCCAUUUUCAAAAAAUGAGAAAAAAGUGAAACUUCCUCAAAAUCAUACUGUCUUCAACUUUUACUGCCUUGACAACUGGACCAAUAUGUGUGUGAAUGAUUUUGUCAAUUUCUAGACUUUGUAUUGUCAGGUUUUCACAGAGGAAUGUAAACUGCUAUGAACAGAGAAAUCAAUUGAAUUUCUUUAAAAAAUAUAUUUAUUUUUUUGUUGUAGUCAGACACAAAACCUUCUUUUUAAUCAAUUUAUGUGGUGCUGAGGAUUGAACCUAGGGCCUCACACAUGCUAGGCAAGCACUGAGCCACAACCCCAGCCCCAUCAAUUGAAUUUCUUGUUAUGGUUCCUACUGGUAGAAUAUAAGGAUUACAGCAAGUGCAGAUUAAAGUCUUAGAGUAUCUCAUUUACAUAUAUAAAUGCAAUGAAUUAAGAGAUUACUAUGACAUUCCUUAAAGAAAAAGAUUAAGAGCAUUAUUAUAAGCCACACUUUAAGGAGACCCAGAAUCAAAAAAAAUUUCAGGGUUUGUAAUAGGAGAAAAGGCACAAUGGUUUCUUUCUUUCUUUUCUUUCUUUUUUUUUUUAAAGAGAGAGAGAGAGAAUUUUUUAAUAUUUAUUUUUUUAGUUUUCGGCGGACACAUCAUUUUUAUAUGUGGUGCUGAGGAUUGAACCUGGGCCGCACGCAUGCCAGAGGAGCGCACUACUGCUUGAGCCACAUCCCCAGCCCCCACAAUGGUUUCUGACUCCAAAUGCUGGCUUAUAUAUUCCUGAGUGUUCCUACAGAAAUUUUUUUUUUUAAAUGGCGAUAGGGACAGGAAGGUCAACUUCCAACUCCACUAGAGGCAGAGAGAAAGACAAAUCCUUCCAUUUGGCUGCCCCCACUUCUAGCAUGCUAAGAAGACUCAGUGCUCCUGGAGACUCGGGCCGGUGGCUUGCCAGCCAGGGUUCAAGCUCUGGGAGGUCUACACCCAAAUGUAGCCAGCACCUGUGUUCUGGGUCUUUGGUUCAGAUUUGGGUGCUCCCUGGGGAUGAAUGAGACCAGAGUUACCUGCCUGCACAGCAAGACUUCAUCUGGCUCUCCCUUUCACAAUGAGAAAGACAACAGCCAGCACACAAAACAACAAUGUAAUCCCCCACACCCCCACACACACUGUGCCACUAGAGAAGCUCAACCUCUUUCACAGGUGGUGGUGUAGCAGGGUAGAACAGUUUGAUUACUUUUUCCAGUGUCUGCUGUUAAUACAUGAGGCACAUCUGUCCUGAGAAGGGAUAAAUGACUCUUAUGGAGAAAAUAAAUCCUGGAAACUUUCCUCUUUUUCUUUCGUGCUGGGGAUCAAAAUCAGGUCCUGGGCUGGGGUUGUGGCUCAUAGUAGAAUGCUUGCCUCGCAUGCAUGAGACCCUGGGUUUGAUCUCCAGCACCACAUAAAAUAACAACAAAUGAAAAUAAAGAUAUUAUGUCCAUCUAUAACUAAAAAAAAAUAUUUAAAAAAAAUCAGGUCCUACCACAAAGUCACAUCCCUAACCUGCCUGCCCACUUCAAGUUCUAUGUUGGGGUGCUUAAAUACACUUAUGUAAAAUAGGGAACAAAAAAAGGAAUAUAUAUACACAUAUGUGUGUUUGUGUGUGUAUGUAUGUAUGUAUGUGUGUGUGUGUAUAUAUAUAUAUAUUUUCUCCCCCAGUAGGAAUUGAACCCAGGGUCACUCUUCCAAUAAGCAACACCCCCAGCCCUUAUUAUUUUUUAUUUUGAGACAGGGUCUUACUAAGUUGUUUAGGGUCUCAUUAAGUUACUGAGGCUAGCCUUGAACUUGUGAUCCUCCUGCUUCAGUCUUCUGAGUCACUGGGAUUAAAGGGGUGUACCACCAGACCCAGCUACAAAAAAUAAAUUUUAAGAAAUGCCAAAAAGUAAAAAGGUAAUAGCUUUUUUUAAUAUUUAUUUUUUUAGUUAUAGUUGGACACAAUACCUUUAUCUUAUUUAUUUAUUUAUUUUCAUGUCCUGCUGAGGAUCAAACCCAGGGCCUAGCAAAUGUUAGGCAAAUGCUCUACCGCUGAACCACAACCCCAGCCCUGAAAAAGGUAAUAGCUUUCAAAAUGAUCUUAGUCACUCCUUUUCCUAUUUGUCUAAACUGAAAUUCAAACACCAAAAUUAAACAGUUUAAAUGUUUAAUUAAAUAGUACCAUUUUUGUUGAAUCACAUGUUAAGUUAUACAUUCCUAUAAACAAGUUACCCAAAGAACAUUUUCAUGAUUUUAGAAGAUGUGAACUGGGCUGGGGAUGUGGCUCAAGCGGUAGCGCGCUCGCCUGGCAUGCAUGCGGCCCGGGUUCCAUCCUCAGCACCACAUACAAACAAAGAUGUUGUGUC
rnacentral:lncRNA from 1 species